rnacentral:rRNA from 1 species
UACGUAGGGUGCGAGCGUUGUCCGGAAUUAUUGGGCGUAAAGGGCUCGUAGGCGGUUUGUCGCGUCGGGAGUGAAGACACCGGGCUUAACUCGGUGCUUGCUUUCGAUACGGGCAGACUAGAGGCAUGCAGGGGAGAACGGAAUUCCUGGUGUAGCGGUGAAAUGCGCAGAUAUCAGGAGGAACACCGGUGGCGAAGGCGGUUCUCUGGGCAUGUCCUGACGCUGAGGAGCGAAAGUGUGGGGAGCGAACAGG